CUACAAUGGCCGGUACAAUGCGAAGCGAAGUAGCGAUGUGAGGCAAAUCGCACCAAAGCCGGUCCCAGUUCGGAUAAGAGGCUGAAACUCGCCUCUUUGAAGUCGGAAUCGCUAGUAAUCGCAGAUCAGCAUGUUGCGGUGAAUACGUUUCCUGGUCUUGUACACACCGCCCGUCAAACCAUGAGAGUCGCCAACACCCGAAGUCCGCUUUGCGGCCUAAGGUGGGGGAGAUGAUUGGGGUUAAGUCGUAACAAGGUACC
rnacentral:rRNA from 1 species